AGUAACGGCGAGUGAACANGAUUANCCCAGCACCGAAGUCUGCGUCCGUUUGGCCGUUAGACAAUGUGGUGUUUAGGUUGGCGCUUUUGAGUGUUGCUCCGUUUCAAGUCCAUCUUGAAUAUGGCUAUUAGUUUGGCCCAAAGAGGGUGAAAGGCCCGUGUGGAUGGAGUGACGCUUGACUGUGCUGGCUGAAGAGUCGGGUUGUUUGAGAACGCAGCCCAAAGUUGGUGGUAAACUCCAUCUAAGGCUAAAUACUGGCACGAGUCCGAUAGCGAACAAGUACCGUGAGGGAAAGUUGAAAAGUACUCUGAAGAGAGAGUUAACAGUGCGUGAAACCGCUUAGAAGCAAACGGGUGUAGUCAAGCUGCAAGCUUCAAGAAAUAGGGUGGUCAGAAUGGCGUGAGCCCUGAGCGCAUUGAGCUGGUGUUUCUGGGUCCGAACUACAUGUUGGGUACGGCAAUAGUCGUAUUUGCGAAGUGCUAUUUGGUGCUGCAAGCCUGUCCAUUAGUUGCUCUGCUGAUCAUCUCACUUUCUUUUAGCGUAUGUCACGACCGUCGUCGCUGUCAGUCUGCUUCAUUUAAACCGUUUCGUUGGCAGUCUCGUGCUACUAGCGUUGCGGAGGCAGGUAGCCGACCGAGUUCACGCUUGGUUGGUCUAAUUGCUGAAUGGAGUGGUAUCUUUAACUGUGCAGUACGAUGGGGCUGGCGGUGCAUUGUUGCUGGGCUCGCUAUAGCGUGUCGGCGUAGUUGGCGUAUGGCWACUUGCUGCUGUUAAAUGAUGGCCUUGUAGUUGCCUGACUGCGGUUUGAUGCGUGGUGAGUUNNNUCAAUUUGUAUUGUGCCUAU
rnacentral:rRNA from 1 species